CCGAUCAACGAAAAACCUAAAUUCCCGUCGGCCCUUGUUUUCAAGUGAAGGGAAGUCAAAUGUCGGCGAUGGAUGGGAUGGGCCUCUUAAUGUGCUUUUAACAAUAUCUCAACCUUUAAUACUGUAUUUUAAACGUAAAUGUCACGUUUUAGAAAAUAAACGUUAGUUGAAGAUCGUGGAUUUAAACGGACAAAACAUGUAACUGGAUCUAAGACAAAGACUCCGGCGAAGAGGAAACAGAGAAGGAUGAAGAAAGGAGUAGGACGAGGUUGAGGUGUUACCAAGGUGAUAGGGAGAACCCAGAUGACGAGCCUAGCGAACUGGGAGCUGCCAUUACUGCAACCCCCGAAACACU